rnacentral:rRNA from 1 species
CCUACGGGUGGCAGCAGUGGGGAAUAUUGGGCAAUGGGCGCAAGCCUGACCCAGCAACGCCGCGUGAAGGAAGAAGGCUUUCGGGUUGUAAACUUCUUUUCUCAGGGACUCCGAAAGUGACGGUACCUGAGGAAUAAGCCACGGCUAACUACGUGCCAGCAGCCGCGGUAAUACGUAGGUGGCACGCGUUAUCCGGAUUUAUUGGGUGUAAAGGGCGUGUAGGCGGGAGCGCAAGUCAGAUGUGAAAACUCAGGGCUCAACCGUGAGCCUGCAUUGGAAACUGUGUGUCUUGAGUGCUGGAGAGGCAAGCGGAAUUGCGGGGGGAGAGGGGAAAUGCGUAGAUAGAAGGAGGAACACCAGGGGCGAAGGCGGAUGGCUGGACAGUAAAUGACGCGGAGGCGCGAAAGCGGGGGGAGCAAACAGGAGUAGAUACCCGAGUAGUC